CUUUGCACACGCGGGAGCUCGGAGCACCGGGCUGAGAGGGCGCUGAAAUCCGUACGAACCGUACGGGAAUCGCUGCGCCGACCGCCGAACCUGUUACCGGGUAAUGCCGGCGUAGGGAGUAGGUCUCAUGACCAU
rnacentral:ncRNA from 1 species